rnacentral:rRNA from 1 species
UGGGGAAUAUUGCACAAUGGGGGAAACCCUGAUGCAGCGACGCCGCGUGGAGGAAGAAGGUCUUCGGAUUGUAAACUCCUGUUGUUGAGGAAGAUAAUGACGGUACUCAACAAGGAAGUGACGGCUAACUACGUGCCAGCAGCCGCGGUAAAACGUAGGUCACAAGCGUUGUCCGGAAUUACUGGGUGUAAAGGGAGCGCAGGCGGGCGAUCAAGUUGGAAGUGAAAUCCAUGGGCUCAACCCAUGAACUGCUUUCAAAACUGGUCGUCUUGAGUAGUGCAGAGGUAGGCGGAAUUCCCGGUGUAGCGGUGGAAUGCGUAGAUAUCGGGAGGAACACCAGUGGCGAAGGCGGCCUACUGGGCACCAACUGACGCUGAGGCUCGAAAGUGUGGGUAGCAAACAGGAUUAGAUACCCUGGUAGUCCACACCGUAAACGAUGAUUACUAGGUGUUGGAGGAUUGACCCCUUCAGUGCCGCAGUUAACACAAUAAGUAAUCCACCUGGGGAGUACGACCGCAAGGUUGAAACUCAAAGGAAUUGACGGGGGCCCGCACAAGCAGUGGAGUAUGUGGUUUAAUUCGACGCAACGCGAAGAACCUUACCAAGUCUUGACAUCCCUUGACAGGCAUAGAAAUGUGUUUUCUCUUCGGAGCAAGGAGACAGGUGGUGCAUGGUUGUCGUCAGCUCGUGUCGUGAGAUGUUGGGUUAAGUCCCGCAACGAGCGCAACCCUUAUGGUCAGUUACUACGCAAGAGGACUCUGGCCAGACUGCCGUUGACAAAACGGAGGAAGGUGGGGAUGACGUCAAAUCAUCAUGCCCUUUAUGACUUGGGCUACACACGUACUACAAUGGCGUUAAACAAAGAGAAGCAAGACCGCGAGGUGGAGCAAAACUCAGAAACAACGUCCCAGUUCGGACUGCAGGCUGCAACUCGCCUGCACGAAGUCGGAAUUGCUAGUAAUCGUGGAUCAGCAUGCCACGGUGAAUACGUUCCC